UACGUAGGGGGCAAGCGUUGUCCGGAUUUAUUGGGCGUAAAGAGCGUGUAGGCGGCUGGGUAGGUCUGCUGUGAAAACUCGAGGCUCAACCUCGAGACGUCGGCGGAAACCCUCCAGCUAGAGUCCGGAAGAGGAGAGUGGAAUUCCUGGUGUAGCGGUGAAAUGCGCAGAUAUCAGGAAGAACACCCGUGGCGAAAGCGGCUCUCUGGGACGGUACUGACGCUGAGACGCGAAGCAGUGGGA
rnacentral:rRNA from 1 species